UGGGUGGCUGGACAUGCCAUGGAGUUCUGGUCCAGUCUUUCAUGUCUUAAACAGGAUGAUAAGACAAGUUUAGGUUACAUUUUGAAGGAUGGAAACUGGACUUUCAAUUAAGUCAGUAGCAAGGGAAGCACAAAACCAGGGGAUACGGUGGUGCUGCUUUCCAGCAGAAAAGCAGUUCAAAGCCCGGACUGCGCCUUCUGGAGCGAAAUUCAAAUGUGGAAGCUUCGAAUAGUCAAGAGCUCUGCACCCCCCGGAAGGAAUACAGAUGAUGACUGAAGAAUUUCCAGAGAAUCUAGUGGAGGUGGGAAAGUGUCCUUCUCCAGGGAGGGUCCUGAAGAUGGGAGCAGAUUCCUGCUCUCCAGCAGCCCCUCCUCACCCAGGCCUCAGUUUCCAGGGAGAACAUGUUCAGCCUUCCUCCGUGAGAGGGGCUGGGAGGCAGCGAGGGUGAUGCCCCGAGGUUUCUGGUGGCUGCUGGCAUUCCUUGGUUUGUGGCCUCAUCACUCCAAUCUUCAAGGCCAGCAUCUUUGAAUUUCUCCCUGAUCCAUCGUCACAUGGCCUUCUCAUCUGUGUGUGUGGUCAAAUCUCCCUCUGCCUCACUCUGAUAAGGAUAAAUGUGUGUGCCUUUAGGGCGUAUCCAGAUAACCCUCCGUCCCAAGAUCCUUAAUUUACUCUCAUCUGCAAAGACCCCUUUGUUUUGCCAUACAAUGUAAAAUUCACAGGUCACAUGGAUUAGAAUACUGAUUUUUUGUGGGGGCAGGAGUCAUUUUUCAGCCUACCAAAGAUGGAGCAAAGAAUUGGAGUGAGGGGGAGACGCUUGAGUGCCUCAUCGUCUUAGGACAGGCUCUCUAGUAGCAGACCGUGGGAUGAGGUUCACUGUGCACACAGUUUAUCAGGGAAGCGCUCCCAGGAGAAACUGGCAAGACAAUGGGAGAUGCAGGUCAGAGAAGGGGAAGAAACUCAGUAGGGUGAGAUUUGAAGUCCCAGCCUGCUCUGGUUUGAAUGUGCCCCCUAAAAGUUCAUGUGUUACAAACUUCAUUGCCAAUGUAACAGUAUUAAGACGUGGGGCCUUUAAGAGAUCCUUGGAUCACAAGAGUGGAGCCCUCCUGCAUGGAUUACUGCCAUUAUCAUGGGAGUGAAUUAGUUCUCUAGGGAGGAAGUUACUUCUCACGAGAGUGGGUUGUUAUAAAAUGAGCUCAGCUCACUUUUGCAGUCUUUUUCAUAUGUGCUUGCUUGCUCUCUCUCUGUAUAAUGCCUUCCCCAAUGUUAUGAUGAGCAAGAAAACCCUCACCAGGUGCUGAUGCCAUGCCCUUGGACUUCCCAGCCUCCAAGACCAUGAGCCAAAUAACCUUUUGGUCUUUAUAAAUUACCCAGUAUCAGUCAUUCUAUUAAAGCAACAGAAAAUGGUCUAAAACACAGCAUCAUAUUAAUCCCACAGAGAGCUUUAAAAAAGGAAAUUCACUGAUGAAAUUGAAUCUCACUUUUAUCACUACCCAUUCCUAUUUCCCUCCUUUCCUUUCCAGAGGAAGUUAUUGUCAUAAAUUUGGUAUGUGCCUUCUUGUCCACUUAAAAAAUGCUUAUAAUAUAUAUUUGUGUCCCUAAUCAUGUAAAGUAUUAUCUUCCACAUUUAAAAAAUUUAUGUAAUAAAUUUAUGUAAUAAAUAA
rnacentral:lncRNA from 1 species